rnacentral:ncRNA from 1 species
GACUUUCUCAUUAAAACAGAGCUUCGCGUAGCCGGCUGAGCCGCACAGACGUGAUGUGAUUUCUGCCUAGUGCUCUGGAUGUCAAAGUGAUGAAAUUCAGCCAAUUGCUGGUAAACUGCGGGAGUAACUAUGACUCUUUCUGGGACGCAACCUUAUCGCGAUAAAAGAGCUUAACUCCAUGGUCGGAGCUAUGCCGGGAAAUCCAACCAUACCGAAUUGGUCCCUCCAAUUUGGAAAAAU